rnacentral:lncRNA from 1 species
UGAAACGACGUGGGUGAUGGGUGGUUGCUGCAACGUGGGAACGUGCGGCGCUGAGGCUACUUGCUGCUUAGGCUUCUGUUAUCUUAGGCCAAUUGGGCCUUGUAAUUGGGUUAGGUUGUAUUUUGGCCUUUGGGUCAGUUUUAGUGAGUAUAGUUGGGCCCGGGCAAUAAUUGGGUAUUACAGCUGCCCCUCUUUGCUCGUUGUCAUGUAAUGGGAACAUAGCAAAGACUAAAAAAAUAGCCAAUUUUGCCCGGUCAUGUUGGACCUUGGCGCUAUUCAAGUAGCCUCAUCAACCUACUGCGUCUUCAGAGGUAUAAGAAUCGGUGCUUUAAUCCACUCCACUGCAACAUCAAGGAGAUAGGACUUGUACCCUGUAAUUUCUCAAAAGAACAAAAUUUGCUAUCUUUAGUCUGCUCCAUUGCAACUUCAGGGAGAUAUGACUUGUAGCUUCAAUUUAUUCCACUGAAAGUUGACGCGACCUGCUCCUUUGCAAUUCAUAGAGAUAAGAUCCGUGGUGUUAAUCCGCUCCACUGCAACUUUAGGGAAAUAGGAUUAUCUUCUUCAAUUUAUCCAAUUACAAUGUCGAGGAAACAAGAUCCGCCGUCAUCAGUCUACUCCACUACUGCUUAGGGAGAUAAGAUCUGUUAUUCUUCGAUCAAUUCCACUGUUGACCAGGGAGAUAGAAUUACUAGCUUCAAUGUACUUCACUGUAACCCCAGGGAGGUAAAAUCCGCCAUCUUCAAUCUGCUCCACUACCGCUUAGGGAAAUAAGAUCUGAAAUCUUCAAUCUAUUCCACUGCCAACCAGGGGGAUAGAAUUACGGCUUCAAUGUACUCCACUAUAACCUCAGGGAGGUAAAAUCUGCCAUCUUUGAUCUACUCUACUAAUGCCUAAGGAGAUAAGAUCUGAAAUCUUCAAUCUAUUCCACUGCCAACGAGGGAGAUAGAAUCUGAAAUCUUCAAUCUAUUCCACUGCCAACCAGGGAGAUAGAAUUACGGCUUCAAUGUACUCCACUGUAACCUCAGGGAGGUAAAAUCUGCCAUCUUUGAUCUACUCUACUAAUGCCUAAUGAGAUAAGAUCUGAAAUCUUCAAUCUAUUCUACUGCCAACCAGGGAGAUAGAAUCUGAACUCUUCAUAGAAUCUGAAAUCUUCAAUCUAUUCCACUGCCAACCAGGGAGAUAGAAUUACUGGCUUCAAUGUACUCCACUGUAACCUCAGGGAGGUAAAAUCUGCCAUCUUUGAUCUACUCUACUAAUGCCUAAGGAGAUAAGAUCUGAAAUCUUUAAUCUAUUCUACUGCCAACCAGGGAGAUAGAAUCUGAAAUCUUCAAUCUAUUCCACUGCCAACCAGGCAGAUAGAAUUACGGCUUCAAUGUACUCCACUGUAACCUCAGGGAGGUAAAAUCUGUCAUCUUUGAUCUACUCUACUAAUGCCUAGGGAGAUAAGAUCUGAAAUCUUCAAUCUAUUCCACUGCCAACCAGGGAGAUAGAAUUAGUAUCUUCAAUCUCCUUCGCUGUCGAUGCAGGAAGGCAAGAUCUACUACUUUCACUGAUCUGUUCUCCAGAGAACAUGACCUGUAUAAUGAACCUAAUUAUGCCUAAUGAUUAGGAAAAAUGAAUCAAAUGCUCCUAACUAGACAUGUGUGAAUGGUGUUUGCAUGAAUGCAAAAUUUUACUCUCCGAGAAUGAUCCCGCUUAGGUUGUCAUUACUCGAAGUUUAUUAAAGUCGUAUCACUGACGUGCUACAACGUCUUUUGUUCGGAUCACAUCUCUAAAUAAACGCUUGAUCAAAUUGCCCCUCACUGUAAACCUCAAAGUUUCAUCCAUUGGGACGUAAAAUUUGUACCAUCUUUCUCCCGCUGUAACCCAAGGGUAGAAAAUUUUGGUCUUUUCUCAAUCCUCAUCGAUCGCAAUUCAAGGAUGCAAAAUGUGAAGCUCUUUGGUCUUUCAUACCAAUCUCAGGGUGUCAUACCCAAAUGCCUAUGCACGAAUGAAGGAUUCUUCUCUCCAAAAAAACCCCUUUUUAUUACUUGGUGAUUAUUGCUUGCUUGUUUAUCUAAGCCUUGCCACCAACCUAUCAUCCUGUCAUUUUGUUCAAUGUUUUUGACAACAAAAUCAAAAAGAAAGUCCUAAUUUAGACUUUUCCUUCUCAGAUUUCCAACCUUUAAACCUGGUGCGUUCUAAACAACAGUCCUGUUUCAGGCUCCUAUAUUGUUUAGAAACUUCUAGAGUAAUAUGCAAAACUUCCCUUGUGAAAGUUUUAUUAGUCCAUUAAUCAUUAUUCCAAUGCAACAUGCUUGCAAAAAGCUCAUAACAAUGAAUAAGAAUAAAGUUAGUUUUGAGCAUAGCUCGAAAUGAAUAGUAAAGAAAGAUAACAAAGAAAUUGAUUGGGAAUGCGUAUCUUGGAAAAGAAUGAAGUAUUCCAAGAAUAACAAAUUCAAAAUAAAUAGUAUGGAGACGAGGUGCCCCAGAUGUCGCAGCUUGAAUUCUCUGUACAAACUUCUUGAAGACCAUUUUGAGUUUGACAUGUGUUUAGGAGAUCUACAUUACUCUGUCGAUGCCCCAAGAUGUCGCGUACCCUUUCCUGCUAACUAAGGCAUAUCAAGAUCACAGCAUGUCCCAUUCUAAUCAACAUUUGAGCUGCUCUGAUUACCUCAUGCCCAUUCUGACCAAUAUUUGAGCCGCCCUUUUCGGGUUUUCAACUCAAAUCCCCUUUGGUCUAAGGCGCCCUUUGUGGUUUUUCACCUUAGCCUCUCCACUUUUACUUUUUCCAUUUUUCAUUUUUUAUUUUUCACAUCUUUUUUUUUCUUUUUUUUUUUUGUGACUCAAAGUGCCCUUUGCAGGUUUUUACCUUGGUCCUCUCCUUCUUUAAGCGAAGCAUUUCUUAAUUGAUUCUGAGUUUACAGGAUUAGACAAGUUUUUACUAUCCGUCUCACUCAAAAUCAGUACUCCUCCAAAAAAGGUCUUCUUUACAAUAUAAGGACAUUCCCACUUUGGCACUCAUUUUUCUCUAAAAUCCUUUUGUAGAGGAAGGAUCUUUUUCAAUACCAGGUUUCCCUCGUGAAAUUUUCUGGGACGAACCUUUUUGUUGUAAGCUCACAUCAUCCGUUUUUUGUACAUCUGACCGUGACGAAUAGCCUUUUUCCUUCAAUUAAGUUCAACUGAUCUUAUCGAGAUUGGAUCUUCAUCCUACUUCAGCUCAGCCAAUACCCGGAGAAAAAGAAUUUCAACUUCAAUGGAAAACUGUGAUAAGCUAAAGAGAAAGGCAUUGCCCCAGCGAGGUUCUUUUUCUUUUUCUUUUUCUCUUUUUUUUUUCUUUUUCCCCUUUUUUUGUUUUUGUUUUUUUUAUUUUCUCUCUUUUUUUUUUGGAUUGAAUCUGCACUUAUAGGAUUAGGCAAGUCCUGGUCAUCUCUUUCGAUCAGAAUCAAUAUUAUUCCAGAUAAGGUCUUCCCCAUAACUUCCACUUUCAUUUUGUAUGCGAAAAGAUCUUCAUUGGCAUCAGGUUUCUCUCAUAGAGCCUUUUGGGGCGAAAUUUAACUAUAACGAGAAAAUUUUAGAUCUUCCUCUUCAAUUAGGAUCAAAUCUAACAAAAAUACGGAAAAAAUUACAACUUGACUUCAACGGAAUAAGCCAGAGAAGAAGGUAUUGCCCCGGUAAAGAAUUCUAACUACAUCGUUCAUGAUGUGAAUCUUGAACAUACUGCAGAUUUUUGACGUUGUGCUGUUGCUCAAAUUACAAUAUCAGUACUUAACUCACGUCCUGGUAUGACCAUGCGAUAACAUCUUUGAACUCUCGAAAUAACUUAAUAAGGUCUUGCUUCAUUUCUCCGGUUAUGCAUGUUCUCUUAAAGUCACAAUCUCCAUUGUCUCUUCAGGAGGUAAAAUUUGCUCUCUUUUUGCUCUACCAUCCUCAACAAGUCUGGAGAUAGGCUACGAUCUAUGUCAUCUUCAAAGUCAGGAGAUCCCUCUAAACACAUGUCUUGCUCAAAAAGAGAUUCUAAAUCUGUAGCAGUGUCAUUCAUGUCAUUGAUAUCUGGGGGCCCAUAAUAAAUAUCAAAGAAUAUACAAAAGAAUGUAUAGAUUUAUGAAGAACUAUCUAUACAAUAUGAUUAUGAAUGAAUGAAUGAUGUGGAAGAAAAUCCAAAAGAAUGAAAGAAUAACUAUUCAGACAGACUGAAAGAAUAUUGGUUCAAAAAUAUUCGCAAGGAUGCAUUUCAUUAAAAUAACGACAUUUAGACAUGAGCCUACUUCACAAAGGAAUUCUUAUUGCCUCUAGGCUAAAAGCAACAAGUGUGUUUUGAACAUUGCUCUAAAUAAGCCCUAAAUACUACAAAUAUUUCUUCCGCAGUUCGAUUGUUUAAAACACUCUCAGGUUUACAAAGGUGGAUAUCUAAUAAGGUCCAUUUUCGAUUGUGUCUUCAUCUAUGACAUUGAUGUGAACACUUCCCAACAUCUCUUCAUCCAUCGCAUUCACCUUAUUCUCAAUCAUGAUUGGGUAGCGGAUUUUCUGCAUUAGAUGAGUCAUCCAACUUGACAAUACCCAUGUUGAUGAAUUUUUCAACUAGCUUUUUGAAGGUAAUGCAAUUCUCUAUUAAGUGCCCCGUAAUUCCCGCGUGGUAGUCACAUUGCGCGUUCGCAUCAUACCACUUAGGAUACGGAGGUUGUGGAGGUUUUAAGUAAUGAGGAGCAACAACAUGCGCAUCGAACAAGCUUUGAUACAACUCCUUAUAGGACAUCGGAAUUGGUGUGAACUGGAGCUUCUCAGUACCUGGCUUCAUACCUGAUUCUUGUCUUGAUGAACCCUGCUGAUUAGUAACCACCUUUCUUGGCUGAUUCACCGUAAUCGAUUUGCUGUACGUGUUCAUGCUGUUCACCUCAUUUUCUUUUUCCUUUAGGGCUUACUUUCUAUUAUUUCCUCCAACAUCAAUCUUUCCGCUCCUAAUAGCACUUUCAAUCAUCUCACCACUCAUAACUAUGUCAGAAAAGCUUUUUGUGGCACUUCCCAACAUAUGUGUGAUGAAUGGGGCCUUCAACGUAUUUAUAAAGAGCAUCGUCAUUUCUCUUUCAAGGAGCGGUGGUUGGACCUGCACUGCCACCUCCCUCCACCUCUGAGCGUAUUGUCUAAAACCUUCAUUCGACUUUUUCUCCAUGUUCUGUAAAGUGAUCCUGUCAGGAACCAUUUCUGUCACAUGACUGUACUCCUUCAUAAAAGCCUGUGCCAAAUCCCUCCAGGAACUAAUCUUAGCACGGCUCAAUUGAUUAUACCAUUUAGACGCUACCCCUGUGAGGCUAUCCUGAAAAUAGUGUAUCAAUAACUGCUCAUUAUUGACAUACCCAGCCAUUCGUCUACAAAACAUGGUAAUGUGGGCCUCAGGGCAACUGGUCCUAUUAUACUUCUCGAAUUCUGGCAUUUUGAACUUGUGAGGUAGCACCAAAUCUGGUACCAAACUCAGAUCUUUAGCAUCAAUCCCACCAUAUCUCUCAGUACUUUCCAUUGCCUUGAACUUCUCUUCAACCCACUUCCAUCUUUCUUCAAAUUGCUUUGGCAAUUCUUCCUUUGCUUUUUCCUUUUCGACCACCUCAUCGAAGUCAGGGACUACAAGAUUGACAGGAAUAUUCUCAGGGCUAGAGCCUAAUCCAGUUUGGUAAUUCAUCGCCUUUGAAGUAUCGGCCUGAAAUUGCUGAGGCCUAAUGGUAACAGAAGAUUUACGCGGGCACACUUCCGCUUGGUGCUGCACAUGUAGAGGAGUGAAGCCUAGAGGAUACUGGAGUCCAUCCUCGCCUUCCUAUUCCAUAUUUGUUACAGGGCUCUUUCCCUUAUCCUUUCCUUCAGUCAACAAUCGCGUUAACUUUGUUAUCAUACUUCCUUGUGAUUCCUCCAUUUUAUUCAUCAAACUUUGUUGAAUCUUCUCGAGUUGUUCCUUCAUUUGCUGCUGAAGCUGAUCUUGCAUUUCUUUUUGGAACCCUUCGAGCUUUUCCAACCUUUGGUCCAUAUUUUUUUAUUUCGCUCUUGUACAGUAACGGUGCUGAGUUGGCUGGUUGGUUUCCAGGUUAACUGAGGAAUAAUUUUAAUUGAUUAGGCUCUUUUGGUGGAUUUUAGUGCAUAUGAUGAGAUUAAUGCAAAUGCAUGAGAUGAAUACAAAAAGAGACGUUGAUUCUGAUUCAAUUCCAUUUAGAAAGCUUUAAUAGAAGACAAAUUUCUUUACAUAAAGCAGAUAUAUAUAUACGGCUUUGCCCUCAUACUCCAGGUGAAAACAUCUUCUCUUUCUUCAUCUGGAUGCCAAGAUAAAUCUUGAGAAUUCUUCAAAAGGGGUAUCUCCUCUACCUCUUUUUUGCUUGAUCUUGGUUAUAAUCCAACGUCUGCCCAUCCCCGUAAUGCUCCUCAGCUUCUUUAAGGCAGUUGGAAUGUCAGAAAUUCUUGAACAAUCAGCUUGACCUUGAGGCACGAAGUAAAGUCAUGUAUUCCUCCAUCACCCUUCUUGCGUUUCUCAGAAUAUAUUUAGACAGCCGUAUUAUCUUCCACUUUAUCAAGAAACCCAUUUCCCACGAUAAACUUUCUGUCUAGCAAUCGAAUACGAAACAACGCCUUUUUAUAAUGGAAUGCCAUGUAAUUGUAAUGCCAUGCAAUCAGAGUAAAACACAACAAGUCAGUAACAAUUAAGUACAAUACAACCAAGAAAUAGUAAAAACUCCUAAUUAGGUGUCUACUAUGGUUCAAAGUAAUUCUACCUAAGGUGGGUUCCUAUGGUUCACUAUAUGUGGUUUGGUUUCUAGGGCAAAGGUACCCGAACCAGCAGAUUCCUCGAUCCUCACCCAUUAUAGGCUCAUACAGACCGAGUUCAGUUCAGGGGAAUACAUUUCCCUAUGGCUGCACGGAGAUGAAAAUCUCACGAAGACAUAGGUACAGAUGUAUUCCGAAAGCGAUCCACUAUCCUAUACGGAGGUGAAAACCUCACGAAUGACUAGUUUCUCACUUCCACUUAGAGGGGUAAAAUUGACCAUGAAAUGCAAAAAUACAAAUAAACCGACAGACCUAAACCAACCAAACAAGCAUAUGACAAUUAAAACUAAUGAAUGCAAAGAGAAAAUCAGGUUUUAAAACAACUUCAAUUUUCGACAAAAAAGACAAAAGAUAAUCAAUUCAUGGCUCGACUCUCUAAUGGUCGCCAAGCUGUCGAAACUAUUUUUUGAAAACAAAAAUAAGUUAUCGACUUUAAAAACAAAAAUUGGAGUCGCCACCGAUCCUUUAUUAAGGUGUGAUCGGCUCACCAAAAAAACAAUUCUGGUCUGCAAAAUUUGAGAAAACAGGUUCGGGAGUCAGUUACGCACGAUGAAGGGUUAGCACCCUCGUGACGCCUAAAAAUAGGUACCAAAUUUGAUUAUUUCAUGUCUUGAUGUCGAAAAUUUGAAAAGAUUUUAAAUAGAAAUUUUUAACCCGUGAAUGGAUUUAAAAUGACAAAACAUUCUCAUUUCAAAGAAAUAAAACACCACACCCAGUAAGUUAGGGCACAAUAUUUUAUAUUUUCAAAAUACCGAAUAUUGCUUUUUGUUUUAGAAAUUCUUAUUUCGAGAUAACGAAAUGUCACGACCAGUAAGUUAGGACCCGACAUUUUGAAUUCCCGAGAAUAAGGUUUUAUUUGAAAAUUGCGAAUUUAUUGUAAAAUAAAUACUUAGCUUUCUAAAUUCAUCGAAAAAUGAUCACGAUCCAGUAAGUUAGGACACGAUCUUUCUCGAGAAUCAUGAUUGCCAAAUAUUUAAAUUUUUUUAAAAAAGAAUGAUGAUUUAAGUAUUUUGACCAAAAUCAAAAUAUAUUUUUCUUUAAAAGUAUGAUAAGUUGUUGAUGCAUGUACAUACAAAGAUCACGAAAAUGAAUCAAUAAUGCAAUGUACAUGCAUUUUAAAAAAUAAUAAACAUAAUAAUGUAUAAACAUAAUAUAUUGGUAAUUAUCAAAAAUAAGGACAUAUGUAUAUAUAAAAAAUUAAAAUUAUAUUUAUAAAGGUAUAGAAUAAUAUAUAUCUAUGUAUACGUAUAUAUAAAAAUAUUUGGAUCAUAAAAUAUAGAAAACAUAUAUAUAUUAUAAAAGUAUAAACGCAUACAUAUGUAUAUAAGGCUAAGAAAAAAUAAAAUAAUAAUAAAAUCUAUGAUAUGUACAUAUUAUAAAAUUGUAUAAACAUAUGAAUUAUAAAACAUGAAAAUAUAAAUAAUUAUAAAAUAUGAAUGUAUAUAAUAUAUAUAUAUAAACUAUAUACAAAAAAAUGUAAUAAUAAUAAUAACAAAAUACGUACUACAUAUAUAUUUAAAACAUUUAAUAUGUAUAUAUUAUAUAUAUGAGCACACAUAUAUACAUACAAUAAUAAUAUAAUAAUAAUUAACAGUAAUAAACAAUAAAAAUAACAUAAUAAAAAUAAACUAAAAAAACAAAUGAAGGACUAAAUUAAAAUAUCAAACAGAAGUUGAAUGCCGAAUUUUGAAAAUAAAAACAAGAAAUGGAGUAAAUUAAAACAGGUGCAAUAGAUAAAGGACCGAAAAAGUAAUUUUCCAACCCACCCUAAAACGCUGCACACUAUUGGACCAAUUUGAAACGAAAAUAAAAGGUGCAGUCAGAUUUAGAACAAAUAAAUAAGUUAAUUUGAAAAGAACCAUAAAUCAUGAGGAUUAAUGGCGAAAAUAGUCCAUUUUGAACCCUAUAUACUCCCAUUUUAAAACCCAAAAAUCAAUUCCCUUCUGCCAUUUUUGUGGUGUGCCGCAACUCCUCUCAAAACCCCUCCUCUGCCGUUCCAAAUUCCUCCCUUUUCCGACCAGAUAACGGCUAACGAGAGCGCCCAACGAAUCUCUCGACGGUAAGUCCUCUUCCCCUCACCCUUUUCGUGUUUUGUUUUAAGAAAAUAAAAAGAAAAGAACCAAAAUAACUUAAAAAAAAGGCAGUAAAAGAACAGAGAAAAAUAAAACAAAAUCCUACCUUCAAAAGUAUUUUUCUAUAUAUUUCCUUUUUGAUUUCGGUACAAAAAAUUUCCUCCCCUUUUACAGAUUCAAAAAUCGCUUUUGACGUACCCAAAAUUUACAAAAUUAUUUUUCUUUUUUUCUUUUUCUCUCUACUGCCCCCUGAUCAAUCCCUCUGUUUUUUGAUUUAUUGCAGGUGGAAUCGGCGUUAUGCGGAGUUGCUGAUCGUGGGUGAAACGACGUGGGUGAUGGGCGGUUGCUGCAACGUGGGAACGUGCGGCGCUGAGGCUACCUGCUGCUUAGGGCUUCUGUUAUCUUAGGCCAAUUGGGCCUUGUAAUUAAGUUAGGUUGUAUUUUGGCCUUUGGGUCAGUUUUAGUGAGUAUAGUUGGGCCCGGGCAAUAAUUGGGUAUUACAAUUCUAAAAAUAAAAAUGAUUCAAACAAAAAAUUAAAAAUUAAUUUUCGAAUACCAAAAUCUUGUGCCAACCGGCACAAAUUGAUAAAAAUAAAAAAUUAGAUGAAAUGGACAAUAACACAAGUAAAUUUUGACUGAAACAAAAUUUAGACUAGUUGAUGCUUUGAUGUAGAGCCAUUGGCUUCCCAAGAAAUUUUUAAAAUUUUCAUUAAACCCUUAAACUUUUUUGAAAAUUUCAAUUAAGUUUUGUUAAAAUUUUUAAAAAUUCUCGUAAAAG